rnacentral:rRNA from 1 species
AUUGAACGCUGGCGGCAUGCCUUACACAUGCAAGUCGAACGGCAGCGGACCUUCGGGUGCCGGCGAGUGGCGAACGGGUGAGUAAAGUAUCGGAACGUACCUUUCAGUGGGGGAUAACUGUCCGAAAGGACAGCUAAUACCGCAUAUUCUGUGAGCAGGAAAGCAGGGGAUCGCAAGACCUUGCGCUGAUUGAGCGGCCAAUAUCAGAUUAGCUAGUUGGUGAGGUAAAGGCUCACCAAGGCGACGAUCUGUAGCGGGUCUGAGAGGAUGAUCCGCCACACUGGAACUGAGACACGGUCCAGACUCCUACGGGAGGCAGCAGUGGGGAAUUUUGGACGAUGGGCGCAAGCCUGAUCCAGCCAUGCCGCGUGAGUGAAGAAGGCCU